GAUCCUGGCUCAGGAUGAACGCUAGCGAUAGGCUUAACACAUGCAAGUCGAGGGGUAACGUGUUGGAAGCUUGCUUCCGAUGACGACGACCGGCGGAUGGGUGCGUAACGCGUAUGCAACUUGCCUCACAGAGGAGGAUAACCCGGAGAAAUCCGGACUAAUACUCCAUACACUCUUGAGUACGCCUGUACAUGAGAGGAAAGAUUUAUCGCUGUGAGAUAGGCAUGCG
rnacentral:rRNA from 1 species